GAGAGAGAGGAAAUGAAGCUGGUGCCCGUGCUGCUAUUGCUGUUGUUCCUAGUACUGCUAUAUGACAGACACAGCCAAUAAAUUGGGCAGAACAUAACAGGAGCCCCCACAACUUUUAGACAGCCCUCUUCCCUGCCUUUGGGUUCUCGCAAGCAGCUGCCUGUGUGAAUUUGUUUAAAGCUUCCAGUCAAUAGAGAUGCUUCUCUCUGG